GUGGGGAAUAUUGGACAAUGGGCGAAAGCCUGAUCCAGCCAUGCCGCGUGUGUGAAGAAGGUCUUCGGAUUGUAAAGCACUUUAAGUUGGGAGGAAGGGCAGUAAGUUAAUACCUUGCUGUUUUGACGUUACCGACAGAAUAAGCACCAGCUAACUUCGUGCCAGCAGCCGCGGUAAUACGAAGGGUGCAAGCGUUAAUCGGAAUUACUGGGCGUAAAGCGCGCGUAGGUGGUUUUGUAAGUUGGAGGUGAAAUCCCCGGGCUCAACCUGGGAACUGCCUCCAAAACUGCAUGACUAGAGUACGGUAGAGGGUAGUGGAAUUUCCUGUGUAGCGGUGAAAUGCGUAGAUAUAGGAAGGAACACCAGUGGCGAAGGCGACUACCUGGACUGAUACUGACACUGAGGUGCGAAAGCGUGGGGAGCAAACAGGAUUAGAAACCCCGGUAGUCC
rnacentral:rRNA from 1 species